rnacentral:rRNA from 1 species
UACGGAGGGGGCAAGCGUUUGUUCGGAAUUACUGGGCGUAAAGGGCGCGCAGGCGGCUGCUCAAGUCAGGCGUGAAAGGCCUGGGCUCAACCCGGGAAUUGCGCUUGAGACUGGGCUGGCUUGAGUGCGGGAGAGGAUGGUGGAAUUCCCAGUGUAGAGGUGAAAUGCGUAGAUAUCAGGAGGAACACCGGUGGCGAAGGCGGCAUCCUGGACCAAUAUUGACGCUGAGGAGCGAAAGCCAGGGGGAGCAAACGGG